AUUGAACGCUGGCGGCAUGCCUUACACAUGCAAGUCGAACGGCAGCGCGGGAGCAAUCCUGGCGGCGAGUGGCGAACGGGUGAGUAAUAUAUCGGAACGUGCCCAGUAGUGGGGGAUAGCCCGGCGAAAGCCGGAUUAAUACCGCAUGAGACCUGAGGGUGAAAGCGGGGGAUCGCAAGACCUCGCGCUAUUGGAGCGGCCGAUAUCAGAUUAGCUAGUUGGUGGGGUAAAGGCCUACCAAGACAACGAUCUGUAGUUGGUCUGAGAGGACGACCAGCCACACUGGGACUGAGACACGGCCCAGACUCCUACGGGAGGCAGCAGUGGGGAAUUUUGGACAAUGGGCGCAAGCCUGAUCCAGCAAUGCCGCGUGCAGGAAGAAGGCC
rnacentral:rRNA from 1 species